GAAACCGUAACAGAGUCUCAGCAAGCCUAUCAGGCUGCUUUUGAAAUUAGUAAAAAGGAGAUGCAACCUACACAUCCCAUCAGGCUUGGACUGGCACUUAACUUUUCUGUGUUUUAUUAUGAAAUACUUAACUCUCCCGAGAAAGCCUGCAACUUGGCAAAGACUGCAUUUGAUGAAGCUAUUGCUGAGCUGGACACACUGAAUGAAGAUUCGUA